UAUUCACAUCGAUUAAUCUACAUUAUGUUUUUUCAAAAAAAAGCUAUGAUCGAUCUGCUUUGUGUUUUUCUUUUCCAAUUGUUUUUAGCAGGCUUGAUAUAUAGUUAUAGUAUCAUAUAUUGCGCAUAGCCCGGAUGUUUUCUGAACAGCACGAGCGGUUCGGAUUUCGAAUCGCUUGAGGAAGAAUCAGACAGAAGAAACUUUAAUUCAAGAUUUUCUGAAUUUUGCUUUUGUUCGGAAUUCAAGAGUUCAUAUGUGAUACAAUGACAAUGAUGUAGGAAACACUUCUCAAUCUGAUGCUUUGUAAUUACCUGCAUUACAACCUAUAUGAUCAGGCAGAGAAAUUGGGGUCAAAGGCACCAAAAUUUCAAUUACGCUAAGUCAGCAGCAGGGGAAAUACAAGGCUGAUGUUGCGCAGUCCAGUCCUGAUGACACUAUGUCGAAAACAUUGUAGCAAAGGCCAUCCGUGAUGGAGCAAUUAAAGCUAAGAUUGAUCAUGCAAAUGGGUGGCUGAUAUAUCGAAGGAGACUCGAGACAUUUACGCUACAAGAGAGAGGGUCAAACCCGAAACCUCUUCAAGAGAAGUGGUAUGGAUACAAAUCGAGCUACAGCCUGCAAGCUCCCAAUCUGGUCUCUAUAACUAGGCCUGACGUGUCACAUGACUCCACAUUAAAGAACCGAGCAUGGUACAGAAGUCCAGGAAGACCAGGGUACUUCGGCCAUGUCUUUGUUUCCAGGUGUUUCAUCAUAUCAAGAGAUUAAGGGGCCAGGGACAAAACGAAUAACGAGAGAUCCCGAAUUCUAAUCUAUGUACCCACUCCACAUAGAAAUAUACUCGUAAAUCAUUGUUUUUUUUUUUUAUCGAAAAACAGGAAUCUCUCCCGUCCGAUCAGCUAAUCUCAUGUGGACCAUAUGAUUCCAAUCAUUUUUGCCACAUAACAAGGAAACUCCUAAUGUACUCAUGAGUCCAUGUUCUGUUUUUGACUUUUUAUUAUCAUAUCAAAUCAACUACAUGGAAAUGUGCUUGUUGAUUGAUUCAACUUCAUGUAGUUCCUACUUGUACGAUUACCGAAUCCCGAUUGUUUUACUUUUUCUUAAUCCCAUUCCCACAAUUACCUACUCA